ACUGACGCUGAGGAGCGAAAGCAUGGGGAGCGAACAGGAUUAGAUACCCUGGUAGUCCAUGCCGUAAACGUUGGGCACUAGGUGUGGGGGACAUUCCACGUUUUCCGCGCCGUAGCUAACGCAUUAAGUGCCCCGCCUGGGGAGUACGGCCGCAAGGCUAAAACUCAAAGGAAUUGACGGGGGCCCGCACAAGCGGCGGAGCAUGCGGAUUAAUUCGAUGCAACGCGAAAAACCUUACCAAGGCUUGACAUGAACCGGAAUGAUGCAAAGAUGUGUCAGCCACUUGUGGCCGGUUUACAGGUGGUGCAUGGUUGUCGUCAGCUCGUGUCGUGAGAUGUUGGGUUAAGUCCCGCAACGAGCGCAACCCUCGUUCCAUGUUGCCAGCGGGUUAUGCCGGGGACUCAUGGGAGACUGCCGGGGUCAACUCGGAGGAAGGUGGGGACGACGUCAAAUCAUCAUGCCCCUUAUGUCUUGGGCUUCACGCAUGCUACAAUGGCCGGUACAAAGGGUUGCGAUACUGUGAGGUGGAGCUAAUCCCAAAAAGCCGGUCUCAGUUCGGAUUGAGGUCUGCAACUCGACCUCAUGAAGUUGGAGUCGCUAGUAAUCGCAGAUCAGCAACGCUGCGGUGAAUACGUUCCCGGGCCUUGUAC
rnacentral:rRNA from 1 species